CGCCCGGCUGCCUCCUGGUCCAGGGCGGGCUCGCCUGCGGGGCGGGUUCGGAGAACAUCCCGUUCGAGCUGGCAGCCCGGCGG
rnacentral:tRNA from 1 species